ACGAACGCUGGCGGCGUGCUUAACACAUGCAAGUCGAACGGAAAGGCUCCAGCUUGCUGGAGUACUCGAGUGGCGAACGGGUGAGUAACACGUGGGUGAUCUGCCCUGCACUUCGGGAUAAGCCUGGGAAACUGGGUCUAAUACCGGAUAGGACCGCACUUUGGUGUGUGUGGUGGAAAGGUUUUUCUGGUGUGGGAUGAGCUCGCGGCCUAUCAGUUUGUUGGUGGGGUAAUGGCCUACCAAGACGGCGACGGGUAGCCGGCCUGAGAGGGUGGACGGUCACAUUGGGACUGGGAUACGGCCCAGACUCCUACGGGAGGCAGCAGUGGGGAAUAUUGCACAAUGGGGGAAACCCUGAUGCAGCGACGCCGCGUGGGGGAUGAAGGCCUUCGGGUUGUAAACUCCUUUCGCUAGGGACGAAGCUUUUUGUGACGGUACCUGGAGAAGAAGCACCGGCUAACUACGUG
rnacentral:rRNA from 1 species